rnacentral:rRNA from 1 species
GACGGAGGAUGCAAGCGUUAUCCGGAAUGAUUGGGCGUAAAGCGUCCGCAGGUGGCAGUUCAAGUCUGCUGUCAAAGACCGGGGCUUAACCCCAGAAAGGCAGUGGAAACUGAAGUGCUAGAGUGCAGUAGGGGUAGAGGGAAUUCCCGGUGUAGCGGUGAAAUGCGUAGAGAUCGGGAAGAACAUCGGUGGCGAAGGCAGCCCCCUGGGCUAACACUGACGCUCAGGCACGAAAGCGUGGGGAGCAAACAGG